rnacentral:lncRNA from 1 species
UAUCAAAGCAAAAGGAUCACGGCUCCUCUUACAAAUCAGUGAACUAUUCUAAUUCUGGACUCUUAUGGCCUAGAUAUGCCAAGCAGUCGCAAUUGCUGUUUUAGUCAAACUAAAAAAAUAUUAACUUUGCAGUGUAAGCAGACCCUUGAGCAAGAGAGCAACAUGACUGCUAGCUUCCCUGUAAGUUCAGUAUGUUUCUUAACUGAAAAUAUCAUUCUGUUAUCAAGUCAUUCUCAAUGUGUGCUGUUUCAUUCUGGUGCCUGUAGGCUGCAUUACAGGAGAUGGAUACGAAGUCCUCGGAGGAGGAAUACAAAGCUCUACAAGGUGAUGGAGCUGGAGAUGUGUAUUUCCAGUCUCUUGAAGAACGAAUCAUUUAUAUGAAGGUGUUCUGCCGAUACUUUUCAGUUUGGUUGCUCCAUGAUUAAUGCUAAUUGAUCUCUCUCUCUUUUUUCUUCUCAUGGAGAAAUACAUAUACGUUACUUAGAAUAAUGCCAUGUGCAGUCUUAAGAAGCUAAACAUCUUUCUCUGUAGUGAGUUUCUGAACUAGGCAGGAUACCAUGGUCCAUGGGUGCAAGAUAACUCAUAUAUGGAUUACCACGGGUCCAGUGCGUUUAAAGUAUGUAUAUGCUUAUAUGCGUGGCUGCUGUUGGUACAACUUGACAACUCCAUAUAGAGGUAUUAAACAUUGAGAAUCACAACAUUUACCAAUGAAAUGACUAACCAACAAGGAACAAGUAUAAGAAGAAAAGCUAAGUAUUCUUUCCAUUUGCUUCUUCCACCAUUUGCAUCUUUUGUAGUUAGCUUCAGAAACCAAAAAUACAAAAAUAGAAUAAGGCCUCGCUUUUUAUAAUUUCAUUUAUUUUUGAAUGCUAAUUAUAUCAAAGGCAUGCCUCCAAGAGGGUGAGAAGCUAGAUGAUGCUAUUUAUAAACGUUUUGCUCUCCACUGAGUUUAUACAGAUUCUAUAAGAGAAGAGAAAGAUCAGUUCGUCUUCUUGUAUGAUCGUCUCUCUCGGCAGUUUUAGGUUACAACUUACAAGCGUGUGUUUUAAUGUACAUGGUGUGGGCUACACAGAUUUUCUUUGACGUGAUGCAACUCUGUUUGCUUACCCUUUUUCUUAAACUACAAACCGAAACACGUUUCAUGCAACAUUGGAACAGGUUGAUUCUUUAUUUGUUCACACAGUACAUAGUGCCACCCGCCGCUAACUACAGUUUGUACAGAUUUUGCAGGGAUGUAUAUAUAUGGUCGUGUUUCACUGGGAUCCUCAACUGUUCCAGUUCGUAUUUAGCAGGAUCACAUGUUGACCAAUGACUCAAAUUAAUUUUCUCACUGAUCCAGUUAACUCAAGAACUUGUGACCCAGUUCUAGGACAACUGUGGACUAAGGUACGCUAGCUGCUUGCAUCUUUCAGAGGAUGUAAUUAGAGCCAACUAUAUGUGUGUUUUAUCCUCUUAGAACUGUUAGUAUCCACUUAGGGGAGAAGUGCAAGCAGAAGCAGAUUUCAAUUUGAAUAAGUGUGCUAGAAAGUGUGUUGGCAAACAUUUGGUGCACUGUGAUCUAAAGGAACAUUGUAUAGGUUGUUACAAAUCCACCAUAAACAGCUUAGCGAUUCAUGGACGACUUCCGCAAGCACACUAGAUGCCUGAGACCAGAUAAAAUUAUCAUUUUUAGAUUGGUGGUAGUCCCCCUGGGAUUAUUGUGCGCAUUGCCAAUUGGUGGUGGUCUUUGUUUUCAAGCAGAGUGUUGCUUUGUAGACAUUACUGACUCUAAUUUACUUUGGGAUCCUGGUUUUCGCGUCUUGACUUUAGGGAUGGAGGUUGAUUUAUCAGCGGUUACAGGCAUGCAUGGUUUAUGGUGGCAAGCAUUAUAUAUCAUUGAAGACUUUCCAUUUGUUCAAGUUCCUGAUAUGCUAAUCGGUAACCUUUAGGUAUUCAUAUAUAAAAAGUGUCACCAUACAAGCAAAUUACAUUUAUGUGAUGAUCUUUGAGUUUGAUUCGUGUGUUUUAUUUUGUAGAUUUGUUUGGAGAGUUAUGUCCAUCCAAGCACCAUGCUUAUGUGGCCAGUGAGUUUGCAUUUGUGUAGAAAAUUAUUGCUACUAAAAGAAAUGAAAUUGUUUUCUUCAUCCUUGUUUCAAACCAACUAAUAAACUAGAUGCUUGGAAGACUCUUUUCACUAUAUAGUUCAUGUAUGCACCUCUACUUGAUAAUCAUAAAUAGUUUGAUCACACCAUUCUUUCAAAAAAAAAGCAAUCUACUAAAAACAACCAGCAGAUGAUGUAUCUGAAGGCAUUUCGUUUCAGGUGAUAUGUUCGUGACUUAAUUUUGUGGCCUACACAACUAAUGUAGAGGUUAUGUAAGUGUAGAACAGUGAUUUAGGAUAUGAUGUUUUUUAAAUACCUUUCGCGAAUGUUUGUUUGAACUCCGUUCCGAGACCACAUACUUUAGGAAAAUUUUCUUAUGUUUCAACCAAAUAAGCUCUCAAAGGAUUAGCAAGCACAUGGACCAUUCCGAUUAAACUAUUUGUUCUAGGUCACAAUUGAAGUAUUGAUAUGUUCUGCCCAACGUUCAUUACACCGAGUCAUGUAUUUUUUUUUCUGAACAUACAUUAUAUUUUCUAGAAAUUCCUCCUCUGUUAGAGAAACAUAUAAAUUCUUCUGUCUUUUUAUUACAUGAUACAACCUAAGGAAAUUGGGACGACUGAUUUAUGUGGGAAACUGAUGGGCUAAAGCUCAAAAGCUCACACCUGGAUGUUUUUUUGUCACACCUUCAAAAUCGUGUAGAAGAAGCGCUUACAAAAAGAAGAAAGAGACCUGGUUUGCCUUCCUUGCUGGCGUCCUUGUCAUCUCCAACCCGCCCACGGGUAUUGCAACUCCUUCCCAUCUGGUUUCCUCCUAUGAGAUAUUUUCUUCACUUGAGCUUUAGAAACAUUUAUUUAAGUGGUUACUGGUUGCUCCAGAAAUUUGAUAUUAAUAUGAUUUUGAUAUAGCCAUGAUGGCUCCUGUGUAGUUGUUUGGUUUGGUAUUUGAUUGUAAACUCUGGUUUGGUAUUUUUAGUCGCAUGUUUCAGUGGAAGAAAAAAAAAUAGUGUCAAAGUAGAAUGCACAUCGUUGUGGCAUAGUCGACUAUGUCGUAUGAGAAGAUUUGAUCAGAUGGUCCUUUUUUAUUCUUUCUGAUUUUCUAUAAAUAGUUGGGUUUUGGAUACAAAUAUAAUUUUAGUAAUCCCAUGAGUUUUUGUCAACGUGUUCAUUUCUUUUCUGCGUUUCCAGGCAUGGAAGCACAUUUUUCAGUGCUUUUUUGUUUAGCUCCAUCCUAUUUCUUACCACAUGCUAUGUGUUGAUUAAUCCUAUAUGUUUCUUGUGCAGGGUGCUCAAGGGGUUCGGCCAAGUCGGAUGCCAGGCGGUGCGUGCAGCUGAGGAGCACUGGCAGCAGGCGCUUGAUGCGGCGCUCCCCGCGUCGCCGCUGCUCAUUCGCGGCUCCUCCUCCUCCCCAACGGAUCGCGACUGAACCUUCCUUGUGCCAGCACCUCGUGGCCAUGAAGGGUGGCUGAGCCAUCAGGAGCGGCGGCGGCGGCCUGCUGCGGAUGCUGCUGCGGCUCCCUCCUCUUCCUCGUCGGCUUCUACCUGCUUUGUGCCGACGCCAUGUACAUCGUGUCAUCCCGGUGCUUCUGCUUUCCCGGGUCGCAACUCUUUGGUGUGCUCGACAAGGUGCGUCUUCUCCCAGUUUCUCUCUCUAAUCCCCAGUGCUCACAUCUGGUCUGCUCUUCCAUGUGUACUUGCAUGUGGCAUUUUUUGGUAUCUUCAGGUUGGGUGCCCAACAUGACCAUGAUAGCUAGGUUGUUCCCCAUGGUGUAUGUGUAUGUUCUUCUUGCUGCGUGCAUACCUAAUCUUCCGUCUUCUUUGUUUUGUUGGUUGGCUUUGCAGGCCAGGACUCACAUUCUGGAGAGCUCCUUGGUCAGUCCAUCACGAGGUAUGUAACUUCACUAAGAUCAUGCAUGGUCCUUAUAAGCUAGGGAUUACACUUCUUCAUAUUAACUGUAUUCGAGCCAUGAGACACCACUUUUGUUGUUAGAAUGAUGCAAUGCAAUGAUGAUUCUGACAUAUGGAUUUCGUAUGAAGGCUUUUCCGUAAACAAAUGAACACUGUAAAUUUAGUUAAUGUGUUUGUAGAUGAUCUUAUUGGCUUGCCACGGUGUAAUAGCAGAUAACACCGACCCAAUUUCAGUAAGUUGUAGUGCAGUUGCUUGGUUUGCUGCUGAUUUGCUGCCUACUACAAGGCGAUCGACAACCUUAAGGCCAUUUCAGGUUAUGUUAAGGAGGGUUCGCAGUGAAAUGUAUGAUGGCCUGAUAUUUAAUUUUAUCAUAUCUUGGAUAAACCAUCAGUAUAAUCUUAUGUGCCAUAAAUUAUGUUUUGUAUUUUCUCUACUAAUAAGGUUGCGUCUACAAGUUUGUGUACAACAUUCUAAUUAGUUAGAAUUUCCUUGGAUUUCAUCGCGUCUCUUAUAGCUCCAACAUUUUUUUCCAGCCCAUGGAAGUUUUAGACAAGUUCUUCUCUACAAUUACAGAACCGGCAGCUACCGGAUUCCUUUUGUGCUGCUGGAAAGGAGGCACAUUGUUCCCAUGCUCGUGCUCUAUGGGUAGAAGCUGCAAAUUCUGGAGGUCUUUUUCUAUGGUUCAUGUCUAUCAUAAUCGCAUCCUUCUUUUACGGUUUACAUAGACAUCUGAUGUUCGCCUUUUCUUAUAUCAGGUAUCAGACGAGGGUAUUCGAAGAAGACACCAUGAAUGGCAGCAGACUCUACCGCUUCCAUUACAAUGGUAUUCAAAAAAGAUACCACCUUGUGGCCUUUCCUGUUUCCUGUGACUACGACUUCCAACUCUUUAACUGGGAUGGUGUCAAAAGAAAUUCUGUAACUGGGACACAAUAAAAUAAAUUGGUACAACUAUGUGGAUUCCUUGGUAAGCUCAUGAUUCAUCUGGCUAAGCAGUCUUAGUAGACCGCCAAUGUUGUGUUAUUAAGAUGCAGGUUUCAAUAACCUUCAUGUUUGCGGCUAAAAUAAUGUAGUUAUCUCGGUAGUCUAGGUAGAUUGAAAUAAUUGUUUAUCCUUGAAGCAAAUCAACUAAACAACUGCCAGUAGAUGAUGAGGUGCCUUCUGCAAACAAAAAAGCUAAGCUCUAAGCGAGUAUUUUUAGGCGACCUAUCUUUUUCGGUGAUUUGUUUAAUCCUUCCUCUGCUCAAUUGAUGUGAAGCACAAACCUUGCUCUGCUAAAUUGAUGUGAACCACAAUCCUUGCUCUGCUCAAUUGAUCUUCCCAGCAAAUCAAUGAACAUGUGCCCACAGGGACACAGUCAAAGGUGCGCAUGUCAACUUAAUGGUUUUCAUCCAUAGUGCUUUGCCAUUAUUUUUAUUUUUAUUGUUUUUCUCAUUUGCCACUGUUGCCCAUUCUUUCUAGGACCAGUAUAUACAUCAUGAUUUUCUUUUUAUGACAUUGUUAUUUAUACUUGAAGCAAGGUAUCUGAAGACCUGAUGGGAAAUGAGGAGGUGCCCUUUGCAACUAAAAAGACUAAGUUGGAGACCAAGUGCCUUUAGGCAACGCGCCCUUUUGGUUCGUUUGUUCGGUACUUUUUUUUGCUAAUUUACUGCUCCCUGUGGUAUAUAUGUUUUGAUUUUUGUUUGGAAUUCUAUUUCUGCAGGAUUGUAGCGUAUUAGUUGCGGAUGUGCAGAAAAUGCUGAUUUAGCGGAUGGUUGCCUUUUCCAUCUGGGAUCUCUUUUGUUGCGACCUGUCGCUUAUAAUAGAGUGAUCUGUUUUACUGAUCCUGGCCAAGUGGAAUCUACUGUCUGUCAAUGUCCAAAUGCUGCAGUUAGUGUGACAUGGAUCUUGACUAAUGUAUCCCAUCAGUUUAGCCGUGUGUUGCUAGCUGAUGUGAAAGUAUGUGUGAUUACCAUACUUAUUAUGAUUAUGGAUGUUGCUACAUGUUUCAUU